rnacentral:rRNA from 1 species
GCGUUGUUCGGAUUCAUUGGGCGUAAAGGAUGCGUAGGUGGCGGGGUAAGUCAGGUGUGAAAUUUCGGAGCUCAACUCCGAAACUGCAUUUGAUACUGCCUUGCUUGAGGACUGGAGAGGAGACUGGAAUUUACGGUGUAGCAGUGAAAUGCGUAGAGAUCGUAAGGAAGACCAGUGGCGAAGGCGGGUCUCUGGACAGUUCCUGACACUGAGGCGCGAAGGCCAG